UGAGGGUGCUCUUGAAGUUUUUCUUUUAUCUUGUUUCCCUUUCACGCACUGACUCAUUCAUUUCACAACCAUCUGUUACGCUCCUACUGUGUCUUCAGACACUUUCCCUUGACUCUAGUCCUGGGCUUUCCUUGGGAGAAAGAAGAAGCGAAAGAAAGACAGAAGGAGCUUAGACCUGUCCCUGUCCCCGGUAGAGGAGAAGGCUGGUCGCAGGCUUACUGUGUCUAUUCUCACUGUGCUAGGUCGGGUGGGUGUGAAAGACACGGUCCUUGCCUUCUGAACUGCAUUAUCGGUGGAGGAUAACACACUCACGUCCGUGUCGUAAGAAAAACAUCCUUGCUCUGUCUAUUCUUGACUUUCUAAAGAAGGCAAAACGGAGGGGGAGCCUCCUUUGGGCUGAGCAUCAUGAUGGAUUUGGGGGUGCAUGCUCGCAGGUAGGGGGUUCUCCCUGUUGGAGCAGGAAGGGAAUAAUACAUCAGAUGGGAGGAAUGCAGAGACCGUGUAUGGAGGCUUGACUUGAUCUGAAGCUAACUGAGGAGGACUAAGGAGAAAAACUCUCCAAAGACUUAGAGAACAGGAGUGCUUGCAGAGAUUCAUAAAUAGUUUGCUGGGAAGGGCGGGGUGGCCGUGGGGGGAGGGGCCGGGUGCGCGAUGUGUGGCUGUGAAGUCUCAGCUCUCCACCCUUCCUAUAACACAAUCAUUUGUAAAGGCAAUAGUGUUCCCCAGUUUGUUUGUAAGGGGGAUCCUCCGGGGAACUCAGGGUGGGGCUGAGUCUAGCAUCUGGGCUGAUGCAGGGUGAGCCCAGGGAAGCAGAGGGCUGGAAGACAGCUGGCCACUGGGUUGCACGCUACUGAAAUGUGGAGGAUCUCAAGGAUCUUGAGAGGAGAAGAAGGGAAAGGAGGAGUGCCACAUGUGACAGCACUCUCUUCUAGGUUAUGGCACUUCACUCUUACAAUACCCAUCAAGGAAGGGACAAGGAUCCAGAAGUUUAUGGGCAUGAGGUGAGUUGCCCAAGGUCACAGGGCUGGGGUGGCAGUGACGGUACUAGGUAAGAACUACUGAAAUUAACCCAGUACCUCCCCACCACUGUCUCUUUGCUGGGCCAAUCCUCAGCCUGACCCUACAAGGAAGGUAUUAUCCCAAAAAUUCUACAGAUUAAAAAACUGAGCCUAAGAGAGCUUCCAUGACCUGGCCAAUGUCACAAAGCCAGGCUUACACCUAAAAUUUGAACCUAAGGCAGUGGAGUUCCAAAACCAAAUCCACGUGCUUUCCAG
rnacentral:lncRNA from 1 species